rnacentral:rRNA from 1 species
UACGUAGGGUGCAAGCGUUGUCCGGAUUUAUUGGGCGUAAAGAGCUCGUAGGCGGUCUGUCGCGUCGGAUGUGAAAACCCAGGGCUCAACCCUGGGCCUGCAUUCGAUACGGGCAGACUAGAGUGUGGCAGGGGAGACUGGAAUUCCUGGUGUAGCGGUGAAAUGCGCAGAUAUCAGGAGGAACACCGGUGGCGAAGGCGGGUCUCUGGGCCAAUACUGACGCUGAGGAGCGAAAGCGUGGGGAGCGAACGGG